rnacentral:lncRNA from 1 species
ACAAAAUCCUUAAGUUUUAUUGGGCAACAUAGAAAGAUUACAGUGUCCAAAUAAACUGAGCAAGAAAAUGCCCAUCAGGAAACAAAGAGCUACGGAAAGAAAAGAAAAGGCAUUGCAGAAACAGAGUUUGAAAUAUGUAAGAGUGACCUGAUCAAUCAAGACAGAAGCAGACCACAAAGCAAAGGUAUACACGUCUGACUCUGCUAGGGACACACACUUCCCAUCCCCAGUCUCUGCUCUGUGGUUUUGGG